rnacentral:rRNA from 1 species
AUGAUCAAGUCCAAGAGCGAGAGGCAUGGCAGCACCGGUGACAGGAUCAGCGCCCUCCCCGACGACCUGCUCCACCACGUCAUGUCCUUCCUGACGCCGUGGGAGAUUGUUCAGACAUGCUUGCUCUCAAGGCGGUGGCGAAAUGUCUGGGUAUCUGCAAGGUGCCUCAGCAUCGACUCGGACCAGUUCAGCACCUUGAGGCAGCUCAAGAAGUUUCUUGACAAUUUGCUUUUGGACCGCGGGUACACAGCGCUCCACACGUUCUGGCUCCGCAUCAACUUUGGCAUAUUUUAUCCCGAUUCUAUAGAUGAUUAUUGUCAAAUCCGUCCGUGGGUCUGCCAUGCCCUUAGGAGCAACGUCCAGGUUUUAGGUAUAGUCCACCAUGGAGAAAUUCUUACCAUUGGAAAUGCCUUCACCUCGUCGUAUCUCAAGAGGUUACAGCUACGCAAUUUUGACGUUGAUGACUGGUUUGUCAAGAAGCUGUUUUCUGGAUGCCCUAACCUGGAAGAGUUAGAGCUGAUAUGCUGUUUUGUUAACAUCAUCAAGUUUUCCUCUACCAAACUUCAGAGAUCGACUGUUACCACUACUGAUGAUCGUUCAAUAUCUUGCUUGGGCUUUGAAGAUAUGGUAAUAGAUAUGCCAAAGUUAGUUUCCUUAGACAUAAAGGAGGUUCCUGAUAGAAAUCUGUAUUUCGUGGAUGUGUCAUCGUUGGAAACUGCCUCAGUUUGCAUUGAUGAAUCCUCUUUCGCAAGUUCUCAAGUCGACUGCAAUGUUCUCAGUGCUCUUUCAAACAUCACCAGCUUGAGGUCGCUGUCUCUAACUGUCCGUCACAAGGUAUUGGAAAGGGAUGUGCUAAGGUGUGCUAAAUUCAACAGCCUGACAACUCUAUCGCUUGGUGAAUGGUGCUUGGGCUCUGGCUGCAGUUCGUUACUUCACUUGCUUCAACGAUCGCCUAAAAUACAGAAACUUAUCCUGCAUCUUACAGAUGUUGGUGCUUCUCAGUGUGAUCACCCUGAGCAACAUGCUGUCGUAGUAGGAGAUCCAACCUGCAGUGAAACACAAAGACCAUUCAAUUGUGAGAAUCUUAAGAAAAUCGAAAUCAACUGCCCACUAGGUGAUAAGAGAAUCCACGUCAUUGUGAGGAUCUUGUAUGAGAACAUUAACUCUCCGACAGAAAUUAAUAUCAUGAGCCAUUAG